UAGGGAAUAUUGCACAAUGGGCGAAAGCCUGAUGCAGCAACGCCGCGUGCGCGAUAAAGGCCUUCGGGUCGUAAAGCGCUUUUCUGAGAGAUGAGAAAGGACAGUAUCUCAGGAAUAAGUCUCGGCUAACUACGUGCCAGCAGCCGCGGUAAAACGUAGGAGGCAAGCGUUAUCCGGAUUCACUGGGCGUAAAGCGCGUGCAGGCGGUUCGGUAAGUUGGGCGUGAAAUCUCCUGGCUCAACUAGGAGAGGUCGUCCAAUACUACCGGGCUAGAGAGCGGUAGAGGAAGAUGGAAUUCCCGGUGUAGUGGUGAAAUGCGUAGAUAUCGGGAGGAACACCAGUGGCGAAGGCGAUCUUCUGGACCGUUUCUGACGCUCAGACGCGACAGCUAGGGUAGCAAACGGGAUUAGAGACCCCGGUAGUCCUAGCCGUAAACGAUGUGAACUUGGCGUCGGUGGGUUAAACUCCAUCGGUGCCGCAGCAAACGCGAUAAGUUCACCGCCUGGGGACUACGGCCGCAAGGUUAA
rnacentral:rRNA from 1 species